rnacentral:rRNA from 1 species
AUACGGAGGAUCCGAGCGUUAUCCGGAUUUAUUGGGUUUAAAGGGUGCGCAGGCGGCCAUUUAAGUCAGCGGUUAAAUCGUGGGGCUCAACCCCAUUCUGCCGUUGAUACUGGGUGGCUUGAUUGCGGUCGAGGUUGGCGGAAUUCGUUGUGUAGCGGUGAAAUGCAUAGAUAUGACGAAGAACACCGAUUGCGUAGGCAGCUGACCAGACCGCAAAUGACGCUCAUGCACGAAAGUGCGGGGAUCGAACAGGAUUAGAUACCCUUGUAGGCCGCACAGGAAACGAUGAAUACUUGUUUUAGGCGAUAUAAUGUCGGAGGCAAAGCGAAAGCGAUAAGUAUUCACCCUGGGGAGUACGCCGGCAACGGUGAAACUUAAAGGAAUUGACGGGG